GCACAUUCAAACACAGUAGCAGCAGCAUACUAUACUGUACCAUGCGGUGUGCAGGAGGACUUUUUUAUUCAGUUGGUGCGGCAAGAUAGAACACCAACAACAUAAUAUCAUGGUAAUCACCCAGCAAGAGAACGCAGUGAUAAUGGGCCAACAGAAAACACAACAUCAAGAUGCUCGGAAAAGACUUUCUCUUUCGAACAAACAUAAUGUCACGUCAUGUUCAAUCGGCUGACCGUUUGGAAUAAGCGCUCAUCAUCGGUUUCAUGGCAGGGAAGUGAGCAGGCAAAAGAAGGCAUCGUUUUUUCGGCAAGGUCGCUCUGGUCAAAAUUUCAGCGAAUUGCAAGGAAUAAACCACCCGAGGGACAGUACCCGUGCUGAUU